AUAUUAGUCAAUGCUCGAAAGAGUGAACUAGCUAACUGAAAUCAAUUAAAAUAAUUGAUAACAUAAGGGAAAAUAAUGAUAUUACCUUAUUAUUAGUGUCGUCCAAAUCUGGUGCCAGAAGACUCGGUAAGGCCAGAGACACAAACGUUAAUCGUCUUAAUCAGGCGUAAAGGGUUUGUAGGCGGCUUUAAAAUUUACUUAUACAAAAAUAAUAAGUAAAGAAUAAAAGCUAGAAUCAAAUAGAGGAUAUAUGAAAGAAUGCUUAGAGUAGGUCUGAUAUCCUUAGAUACUAAGUAGAAUAUUAAAGGCGAAAGCUUUUUUCCAUUAAUGAUUGACGCUCAGAAACGAAGGUGAGGAUAGGAAAUAGGAUUAGAUACCCAGAAUACCCCUCUCUGUCAACGAUGAAUGGUAGUUAUUAGUACAAAUUAUUAAUGGCAAUGUUAACACGAUAACCAUUCCGCCUUGUGAGUACAACUGCAAAGUUGAAAACAAAAAAAUUAGUCGGUUUCGGAGCAAACGAAGUGAAGCAUGUUAUUUAAUU
rnacentral:rRNA from 1 species